rnacentral:rRNA from 1 species
UAAAAAAUUUGGCGGUAUUUUAGUCUAUUCAGAGGAACCUGUUCUGUAAUCGAUAAUCCACGAUGGACCUUACUUAAGUUUGUAAUCAGUUUAUAUACCGUCGUUAUUAGAAUAUUUUAUAAGAAUGUUAAUCUUCAUAAUCUUUUAAAAGAGAGUAUAUCAGAUCAAGGUGUAGCUAAUAUUUAAGUAGAAAUGGGUUACAAUAAAUUUAUUUAAACGGAUAUAAAUUUGAAAUAUUUAUUGAAGGUGGAUUUGAAAGUAAAAUUAUAAAGAUUAAUAAUUUGAUUUUAGCUCUAAAAUAUGCACACAUCGCCCGUCACUCUUACUACUAAGGUAAGAUAAGUCGUAACAUAGUAGAUGUACUGGAAAGUGUACCUAGAAUGCAAUUUAAAGCUUAUUUAGUAAAGUAUUUCAUUUACAUUGAAAAGAUUUUUGUGCAAAUCAAUAUAAAUUGAUUAAAUUUUAUUUAUUAAUAAUUUUUUUUUAAAAAUUUAAAUUAUUAAAAAUAAUUAUAAAAAGAAUUGUUUUAGUAUUUAAUAAAGAAAAAAUAAUAUUAAUUAUAGUGUAAUAGUAUUGUGAAAGAAAAUUGAAAUAAUUUGAAAAAUUUUUAUUAUAAAAGA